CCUUCGGGUUGUAAAGCUCUUUCGGUUGGGAAGAAAUUGCUUCGGAUAAUACCCGGAGUAGAUGACGGUACCAGCAUAAGAAGCACCGGCUAACUACGUGC
rnacentral:rRNA from 1 species